rnacentral:tRNA from 1 species
UCCUCAAUAGCUCAGUGGUAGAGCGGAUGGCUGUUAACCAUUAGGUCGUUGGUUCAAAUCCAACUUGGGGAG